rnacentral:lncRNA from 1 species
GAGAACUCCAGACUACUGAUGUAGAUGUGUGAGGGUGUCCCCACAGUUUGCCUCCGGGGACUCUUGGCCUGGAGUGACCUUCCUUUUUGGGGGUAGAUGAGCUUCCGGAAAGCCUGCCGUGCAGCCCUGAAACCUCGGAGCUGUGCCAGAUGGCUCUUGCCUCGGUGACGUUGAUGUCAUGAUGCCGCCAGCCUGGGGAGUGACGCGGCCAGAAACAGGAAGGUGCAGAGGCCCCUGGCACAGAGUAGGUGUGCCGUGAACACUGGCUGCCUAUAGCUGACAUCAGGACAGGCGACCCAGUGUGCCCGGGGCCACCGCCCGGCCCCCAGCCCCCAGCCACAGCCCUGCCGCUGAGACCUCGGGGCUUCCCUUUCCCCACCUCUCAGGUGAUGUAGUGAGGGGCAUGAGGACGGUGUGAAGCAGGAGGGUAGGAGUUGUGCCCGCUGGAACCCCCACGCCUCCGGACCUGCCCCUCUGCUCCGAGGGUGGACGGGUCCUGUUCAGGUAGGGGCCCAAAGGGGGAGGCACCGGGCUGGCUGGGAAAGUGAGGACGAGGAAGCAGCUGGGAAUAAGCCCUGGGAGGCUCCAUUGGGGUUUGGCCCCUUCCUGAGGUGUAGAAGAGGGGAGUGGAGGAGAACUGGGGAUGACCGUGUCAGGUCGCCCAUGGUGCGGGGAGGUGCUGAGGUGAUGGUCCAGGGGGUGAACCGUGGCAUCUCCAGCAGACCCCGCAGGGGCCCAAGGAGAGAAAUGCCAGAAUUGGCAAGGGACCCAGGCAGACAGGAGCUGCAGAUGGGGCACCAGCAGCAGUGAUGAGCUCAGGGGAAAUGGAGUGAAAGCCGGAAGCUUACAGCAGCGCCUACCUGGAGGGGCCUUGUGGCUGGGAUGGGGUCCUAGGGAGCACACAGGGCAUCAAGCACCAGGGCCCUGGGCCAGGAACCCGCUCCUGUGGUUCCUUACAGGAACCAGUAAGCCGAGCAGGAGGAGGCCAGAUCAGGAAGGGGCUUGAGGGUCUUCCAAGGUUGGAGUGGGCAAGGGUCCAGGGAGGAGGAGAGGCGGUAAAGCCAGACUGGAUGGUGACAUAACCCCGGGGGAGCAGCUGUGGCUGCUGCUGGAGGGAGCCGAGGGAACCCAAGAGGCGUCCUAGAGAAGAAUUCGGAAGGGAUGCGCCGGUGGGGGCAGACCCCGAGUGGUGCAGGGACUCGGGUGGACGCCCGCGCUGGCCCCGGCCUUCGCUCAGGAGGACACCAGCCUGCGGCAGCUGGCUCCGUUUUAUCUUCCAAGGUGGAAAUGGCUUUGCAGUUUAUGGCCAUUUCUAGGGUUGCCGGAUGUAGCAAAUAAAAGUACACAUGUUGUAUGGGACAUCUUCACACUAAAAAGUUACUUAUUUGAAAUUUGAAGUUUAUCUGGGUAUACCGUAUUUCCUCUAGCAAAUGUAACCAUAACAGGUAUAAAUAAUCCAGCUAACACGAAAAUAAAAAGUGAGAACUGUCUACAAUCCCACCCCAAAAGGGUAAUCUCGAAAGCAAUUCGAUGUGUAUCUUGCCCAGGUUUUUUUUUUUUUUUUUAAUGUUUAUUUUUGAGAGAGAGAGAGAGAGAGACCGGGCAUGAGCAGGGGAGGGGCAGAAAGAGAGAGGGAGACAGAAUCCGAAGCGGGCUCCAGGCUCCGAGCUGUCAGCACAGAGUCCGACGUGGGGCCCGAGCCCACAAACCGCGAGAUCGUGACCUGAGCCGAAGGCAGGCACUUAACUAACUGAGCCCCCCAGGUGCCCCUUGCCCAGGGUUUUCAUACAAGCUUGCAGAUCAAAAGAACAAAAAAGAUUUUGCUCUAUGUACUCUUCUCUAAUCUGAUUUCACUUAACGAAACACCUAUUUCCAUGUGAAAUCAGCCCAGCUGUGUCCAGCUCCCUGUCUGGAACCGUUCUCGGAGAAGCCGGCCUGCUCUGACACCGCGGUGGGUCCCUCCGGUCAUUUCAUCAGAAAACAUGCUUAGCAGUGGAAUUUUUUUAAUUGAAGAUUUUAUGGAGAUAGUUACAGACUCCUACGCGAUUCCAGGAAAUAAUGCUGAAGGACCCCUGGUACAGGUGAGCUAGACCUACCCAAUGGUAACUAACGUUCUUUAAAAGGAUAGCGGGAGAAUCACAGCCAGAAUAGUGACGCUGAUAUGGUUCACUGACUUUGUUCCAAUUUCCCCAGUUUUACUUGUCCUAAUGUAUGCAUCAAAUUCUGUACGUUUAUUUUUAUUUUUUUUAAUAUUUAUUUCUGAGAGACAGAGUGAGACAGAGCAUGAGCAGGGAAGGGACAGAGAGAGAGAGACAGAAUCUGAAGCCAGCUCCAGGCUCUGAGCUGUCAGCACAGAGCCCAACACGGGGCUCGAACUCAUGAACCGUGAGAUCAUGACCUGAGCCGAAGUUGGACGCUCAACCGACCGAGCCACCCAGGCACCUCUUACUUCCCCGUUUUAAAAGUUGUAUUUAGUUGGAUGUACAGAGAGAGAUGAGUCCACAUCAUCUACUCUUGAACCAGAAGUCCCUGGUGUUAUUUUUUCGUUUUACUUAUGUAACUAUUUCUUCAAUGUAUUUUUACAACCGCUUUUUUAAGAUAUAAUUCACAUACCAUACAAUUCACUCAUUUAAAAUGUACAAUUUAAAGGUUUGUAGUGUAUGUGUGGGGUUGUGAAACCCGCACCACUCAAUCUUAGAACACCAUCAUCCCCAAAGAAACCCCAUACCCAUUAAAAGUCAGUCCCCAUUUCUUCCUCCCCUGAGGCCCGACAACCACAGAUAUGCUUUCUGUGUCUAUAGAUUGGCCUAUCAUUGACAUUUCACAUAAAUGGAAUCAUUCAAUAUGUGGCCUGUGGGCAUCUUUCCUUUGCGUAAUGUUUUCAAGAUUCAUCCAUGUAAUUUCAGUACUUUGUUCCUUUGUUUGUGGACACAUAACAUUUUAUCUGUCUGUUCAUCAGUUGAUGGCCAUUUGGUUUAUUUUCACUUACUGACUAUCGUGAAUAACAUUGCUGUGAAUCUCCCUGUACAAGUUUCUGUGUGGACAUGUGUUCUCAUUUCUCUGGCGUGUAUGGCCAGGAGUGGAAUUUCUGGGUCAUAUGGUAACUCUCAGUUUAGCAUUUUGAGAAACUGUGUCCAACUGUCUUCCAAAGCGGAUGUACCUUUUUGCAUUUCCUCCAGCAACAUGUGAUGGUUAGUUUCCCCAUAUUCUCACCAACACUUGCUAUUAGUUGACUUUCUUUUUUAAAAUUUUUUACUUGGGAGAGAGAGAGAGAGAGAGAGAGAGAGAGCGAGAGCAUGUGUGAGCGGGGGAGAGGAGCAGAGGGAGAGAGAGAGAAUCCCAAGCAGGCUCCAUGGUCCCACGGCCAUGAAAUCAUGACCUGAGCUGGAACCAAGAGUUGGAUGCUUAACCAACCGAGCAAUCCAGGCGCCCCAUUAUCUGACUUUUUGAUUCCAGCCAUCCUAGUGGGUAUGAAGUGGUUUCUCUCUGUGGUUUUGAUUUGCAUGUCCCAAAAGACCAAUGAUGCUGAACAUUUUUUCAUUUGCUUAUCGGUCAUUUGUGUAUCUUCUUUGAAGAAGUGUCUAUUCAAGUUCUUUACCCAUUUUUAAUCUGGUUGUUUUUUUUUGUUUUGUUUUUUGUUUUUUUGUUUUUUUGGUUGUUGAGGACUUUGGCUUUUAUUUUGAGAGAGAUGCGGAGCCGCUGGAAAGUUCUAAGCACAGAAGUGGCAGUAUCACUUGUGCUGCUGUGUAGAGAAAAAGUACACAGUUUCACAGGCAAAACAGACACUAGUUAAGAUACUGAGAUAAUCCAGGUGUGAGAUAAUAGUGACUGGCCCUGGCAUAGUAACAGGAAGUCAUGACACAGGGCCGGUUCCAGACACAUUUUGAAGGGAGGGCCAACAAGAUUUGCUAAUGGGUCCGAUGUGCCCAGUAAGGCAAUGCCUCUCACGCAGGAGACGUGGGGCUACCCUUUACUGAGAAGGUGGAUUAGUAUCCUGUGGCUGCCACAAACUGGGUGACUUAAAAUAACAGAAAUGUAUUGUCUCGUAGAUUAGAAGCCAGCACUCCCUCUGAAACCUGCGGGGCGGGAUCCUCCCCGGCCUCUUCCGGCUUCCAGUGACUGUGAGUCUUGGCGUUCCUUGGGCUUACAGCUCCAUCUAUCCAGUUUCUGCCUCUGUCUACAUGGCCUUCUCAUGGCCUGGUUCCAAACUUCCCUCUUCCCAUUUUGACACCAGUCAUUGGAUAAGGACCCACCCCAGUGA